rnacentral:lncRNA from 1 species
ACUGAAUUUUAGAUUAGUUGACGAAUUCUAGUUGCUCAUCCUCAUUUGUUAGCCAUCUCAAUUGGACAUUCUGUUAUCCCAUAUGAAGCCAGAACUAAUACAUGUUAUCAUGAUAUUAGUUAAAAAUUGAAAUAACAUCAUAUCAACCCCUAUUAAAGAUAGAAGAAAUUAUGGCUUACCUCUAUCUCAUGUAGUUGGAAUUUUAAAAGUAGAUAGCAGAAUCAACUCUCACAAUUAGUACAUGGGGAACUUGAUACAAGAUUAUGGUUAAUAUUAGACACAGAAAUGUCUAUCUUGUUCAACAUACCACAUGUGGGGUUUGUGGAGAGUAGAGUGUAAAGACCUUAUCUCUACCUCGAGGAGGUACAGAGAAUGCUUUCAAGUAUCAUAAUUCAUUGGAGGUGAAAGGUUAACAUUCCUAGAACAUGAAUACAUCUCUAAAUUACUUGAAGCAAUUAAAAGAUGGAAUCUGAAGUUAAGAUAAACAACGCAAAAUUUGGGAAUUUUUAUUCAUUGCCAUCUGAUGCAUGCCCCCACACUGAUCACUAUAAGAUGAUCUGUGAAACACGAUAAUAAUCUAGAAAGAAUGAAUUGUAAUUAAGAAAUUAACUUCAUCCAACGAUAUAUAGUUAUCAACUAUGUAAGAAGUUUGCUGGUUCCUUUGAUAUAUAGUUUGCUCUAUCUAAACCUCCGACAUAUGAUGUAACUUAAGCUCG